rnacentral:rRNA from 1 species
ACGGGAGGCAGCAGUGGGGAAUAUUGGACAAUGGGGGAAACCCUGAUCCGGCGACGCCGCGUGAGUGAAGAAGUAUUUCGGUAUGUAAAGCUCUAUCAGCAAGGAAGAAAAUGACGGUACUUGACUAAGAAGCCCCGGCUAACUACGUGCCAGCAGCCGCGGUACUACGUAGGGGGCAAGCGUUAUCCGGAUUUACUGGGUGUAAAGGGAGCGUAGACGGCAUAGCAAGUCUGAAGUGAAAUGCAUGGGCUCAACCCAUGAACUGCUUUGGAAACUGUUAAGCUAGAGUGCAGGAGAGGUAAGUGGAAUUCCUAGUGUAGCGGUGAAAUGCGUAGAUAUUAGGAGGAACACCAGUGGCGAAGGCGGCUUACUGGACUGUAACUGACGUUGAGGCUCGAAAGCGUGGGGAGCAAACAGGAUUAGAUACCCUGGUA